UCAAUUCUCUCUUGCCACACGAAGAGAAUUCUCCUGCACACUUCGUGUGUUUGAUUCUACCCAUCCCUGUUGAACACAAGUCAUUUUCUUCCAUCGCUCUCAUCUGGGUGUUUGCUCUUUUCCAUCCAAGCCAAAGAGCGACUUCAGUGUGCUCUGAACCGUGGACAUGAGAGUGUGUGUUUGUGUGCUGCGUGAACUAUUUUUCCUGCGUAAAACACUUUCCCGUACUGCACCAUCCGCAGUGUUCUUUUUGCUUCAUCGGAGGACGAAUUUUUAUCAUCUAAUUGUUUCGAUGUGUGCUGCUACCGCUAGCUGUUCUCCAAAUCUCUUCAAAUUGCGACACUGUGUGCACAGGCGUUCAAGGUUCAAUUGAUCCUCAAGCACAAAGGCAAUUUUAUCACAUCUUUAAAUCAAGUGUAAUCUUUUUAACAAAGUGUGUCUAUUAAUUGUGUAUUUUCAUCAACAGCCUUCAUACAACAUCGCGGUUGAGGCGCGCCAAAUCUGAUGACAUCUUUCCUGAACCAAGCAGGCUGAACACGCGCACCACCACGGGCGCCAGCGCGGUGUGAAGAGGGAA